rnacentral:rRNA from 1 species
UACGUAGGGUGCAAGCGUUGUCCGGAAUUAUUGGGCGUAAAGAGCUCGUAGGCGGUCUGUCGCGUCGGCUGUGAAAACCCGGGGCUCAACCCCGGGCCUGCAGUCGAUACGGGCAGACUAGAGUGCGGUAGGGGAGACUGGAAUUCCUGGUGUAGCGGUGAAAUGCGCAGAUAUCAGGAGGAACACCGGUGGCGAAGGCGGGUCUCUGGGCCGAUACUGACGCUGAGGAGCGAAAGCGUGGGAGCGAACAGG